CCACUCGUAGUGAAACAGUUG
rnacentral:miRNA from 1 species